CAGCAGCCGCGGGAAUACGAAGGGGGCUAGCGUUGUUCGGAUUUACUGGGCGUAAGCGCACGUAGGCGGAUCGAUCAGUCAGGGGUGAAAUCCCAGAGCUCAACUCUGGAACUGCCUUUGAUACUGUCGAUCUGGAGUAUGGAAGAGGUGAGUGGAAUUCCGAGUGUAGAGGUGAAAUUCGUAGAUAUUCGAAGGAACACCAGUGGCGAAGGCGGCUCACUGGUCCAUUACUGACGCUGAGGUGCGAAAGCGUGGGGAGCAAACAGGAUUAGAGACCCCAGUAGUCCCUGUCUCUUAUACA
rnacentral:rRNA from 1 species